rnacentral:pre_miRNA from 2 species
UUCCGGAGUUUCACACCCAUCAGUCACAACAGUCGAUGGGUGUGAACCUCUAGAAAA